UGCUUUGGUCGUAUAGACAGAGAGAUAAUGUCUCUCGGCUUUGAAGAAAAACAGAGAUCCUCUCAUGGUGCCUGGGUGUUGGAUUCAUAAAACAAAGGUCUCUGCUGUUCACAGUUAAUUACAUAUAUUUUCUAUGCCUUGGACACCUUCAUCAGGGUUCGUAGUGUUUGUUAGAAUGAAAAUUGUAUGUUGGUCGAUUUUAUGAUGGUUGAAUGAUGGAUUAUUUUCCUCUGUUGUUGUUUAAAUGUCGCCGCUUAGAGUGUUCCCCUGUUCUUCAGCGUUAAGUCUGUGCUAUAUUGUAAUAUUUCUCCUUUUGAUAGAUUGAUUAGCUAUUAUUUAUCUAUGUGUUGGAUGGUGCGCAGGUUUGGCUCUCUAUUACUUGUAGCUGUUGAUUGUGUUGUUUCUCGUUAUUUCCUUACAUCUAUGCUGUUCACUUAAUAAGAAAUUAAAAGUUGCAUAAUGUUGGAAUUGCGCUCGAACUGUUAUGACAGAUAUUCACACUAUUGCAGUGAUGGUUCUCAGGUAUAGGAAUAUUAGACUUUUUAUAAUACAACUUGUAAUUUGAUUGUAAUCAUAUUGAUUAAGAAUAUCUUCUUUGUAGUGGUAUAGAUUUUAUUUCCUCUUGUGUUCGUGUCAUUCGUGUUCCGUGGUCUUCCAUACAUCUAUCGGCACCCGUCUUCAACAAAUCAGGGCAGAUAUCAUUAGAGCUGGUUGUUGGCUAGGAGCAUGCUAUGUGGUGAAGUUCAUUUUUAACAUAUCUAUUUUCUGUGUUGGAUUCAUAAACAAAGCAAGGUUUGUAGUGUCUUAGAAUGAAGAUUGUAUAGUGUUUGAUUAGAUAAUCUAUAGAAAAUUAUAGAUUAUUCUCUUCCUCUGUUGUUUUGAUUAAGAAUAUCUUCUUUGUAGUGGUAGAGAUUUUAUUUCCUCUUGUGUUCGUGUCGUUCUUGUUCCAUGGUCUUCCAGGGUCUCUGCUGUUCACAGUUAAUUACAUACAACUAUCAGAACUUCCCGCUACUGCAAUGAUGGUUCUCACGUAUAUGAAUAUUAGACUUUUUAUAAUACAACUUGUAAUUUUGAUUGUAAUCAUAUUGAUUAAGAAUAUCUUCUUUGAUUAAACGUGCUACUCCAUUUUAAUUCUGAUUCAUUGAAAACGUGUGUGUAUGAUUACAGUUAAUAAAAAAUAUUGUUCUUGAUCUGUGAUACCUAUUCAAUGCUAUUGUAUCGUACCUGUAAUAAGUAUAUUCUUUGUUACGUGUAUUGUGUUUCUUCUGUUGCAGGUCGUGAAGGUUUUUCGGCUGGGUUUUUUUCCUUCACCUGAUUGGCAUCACAAUUGGCACAAUUCCCAGCACUGUUGGCUUUAAUAAAUAUAUCUCGACUUGAUUGGCAUUACAAUUGCAUUAAUAAAUAUAUUUUCACCCUU